UUUUCUUGACGCGCUUGAAAUUCAAUUGUGGUUCGUUCAACUGACGCCCAGUUUAUUUGAGUGCAUAUAUUUAAACAAACAAAAAAGAGAAAGAGAAAGAUUGCAACGAUAAAAUGUUAAACAACAAAAAAAGAGCAGAAAAGUGAAAAGCAAAUUUUUCUGCUACGCUUGAGAACCAAAACGAAACGAAACACAACACAAAAAAGUUGUAAGAAACGCAAGACGAAAGCGAAUAGCUCACAAGAGCAACAAGAAGAAGAAGUCGAGAAAAAGAUCAUGCGUGCUUAACGACGACGGCGACGACGACGCUAGCAACACACUCACACAAACACAGGCACAAACACAUGCAGCUGGCAAGUUGUUAGAGGGGGGGGCAGCAGAGUGACAACAACUAGUGCCAAACAAUGCAAGAGAUAGACAAGAAGAGCAGCGCAGCUAACAGAAGCAGAAGCAGCGCAGCCAACAAGCACAGUAUUUUCACAUAAUUGACAACGAGCGCCUGCAAACGUGAGCAUUACAACAACAAUAACAAGACCGAGAAGCCUCACAAGAGAAUAGUCAGCAAAUUAGACACAAAAAAAUCGAAGAAAAAUAAAUAAGACUUAUCACAACACAACAACAACAAUAACAAAAAUAGUGUGUAUGUAUGUAUUGUUCUUGUGUUAGUAUUAUUGCACCCAGACAAGAAAGCUCUUUGCUUGUUGUUUGUAAAAAGGCAACAGGAGUUUGAGAUUUAAUUGAAGAAUCCUACAUUAUUGCUACCAAGCAAAAAAGGAAGGUGUUACAAAAAACAGUGUUACUGUGCAAAAGUAUUACUGCAAAAGCGUCUCAAAGGAGGCAGGCACAGAAUAUAAAUAAAACAGUGUUGUGUGCAGCAAGGAAGUGCUAUAGCCGAACAAAAAAAGCAUUUUCUUCAAACCACAAACAGUGUUGUGUGCAGAAGCAGCAAAUAAAAGGAGGUCAAACAAGGAAGCGUUUGAUUCGGAACAGGAAAACAGUAUUGUGUGCACAAGCAAAUAAAAAUAAGUUUCUCAGCCAACAAAAAUAAACUGCAAACAGUGCUGUGUGCGCACACAUCUACCACAAGUGUAAGCUCAACCCAAAGCACGCUCUCAAUUGAACGAAGGAUCAGCCAUUCUCUCUCUCCCUCACACUCUCUCUCUGCAUUGAACGACGAAGCUUUGCAAAGAUGAAAAGCUUUUGGUUGCUGUUAACAUUACCGUUACUGCUACUACUACUCCAGCUGAGCCACGUACAAAGUGUAGCAGAAGCGGACAAAGAAGAAGAGAAUGUUACAAUAACAGCAACAACAACAGCAGCAACUGCAACCACAACAAUUGCAACAGCAGCAUCUGGUCGACCACCGCCGCCGCGCAUAAUGUUGAACAAGUGUUGCCACCAGGGUGAAUAUUUGAAUGCAACAACGCUGGCCUGCAUCGCUGGCGCCUCCGAGUCGUGGAUGCCACUGGUGUAUUUGACGCAACAGUUGCGCUUCUUUGAGCCCAAAGGAGGCAAGCCGCGCUUCAUCAAACUGCUGCCAAAUGUGCGACCCGACUGUGGCAUGCAACAGCAGCAACGGGAACUGUUCAGCAGUCGUCAGGCGAAUGUGGUCAUCUUCCCCAAUGGCACCAUGUCGGUGCGGGAGCGUGGAAUACUCGUUCAGCCCAAGAACUACUGUAUCGAUCAAGAUGUGGCCUGGGUUUGCCUCGAACCGGAAGUGAACAAGGAUGAAACGCACCUAGUCAAUGGCAACUCUGCUGCUGAUGCUGAUACUGAUCCUGCUGCUACUGCUCCUAAUCCACCCCCGGCUGCCGCUCCUUCAGCAAUAGCAACUCCUUUGCGUCUGCGCAAAUGUUGCGGCAAAUGGGGCAUCUACGCGAGCAGCAGCAAAAGUUGCAGCCUUGCCCCUGCGCCAGCACAGGAUGGCCAACUAAUCCUCAGUCCGAAAUUGCAGUUGGGACAAUAUCAGACCACGUACGGAUUGCCCGAGUGUUUGGGCAAUGCCAGUGGCUAUGCCAUAGCCGGAGAUUGGCAUGAGGCAACAUUGAAUCGCAGCACGGGCGCCUUGCAACUUAGCCACACCAAUCUGAGUGCAACGCAAUAUUGCCUCGAGCACACCGAGCGACCAGGUGAGGUGAAGAUAAUCGCCUGCACCCAGCACUUUAAUCACGAUCCCAGCAAUCCGAACAACAACAACAAUAACAUAUCCUUUGGGGUUGAGGGUAAUCUGCAGAAGGCUGUGCUUGAUGUGGGCAUCCUGAUCUCGAUUGUCUUUCUGGCUGCCACUCUUGUCGCCGGCUACAUGCUGCCGGCUGUGCAUCAUGCGUUGCACUGGCGUUGCCAGAUCUAUUACGUCUUCUGUCUGCUGCUCGGCAAGAUUCUGCUGGCCAUCGAGGAGCUCAACAAGAGCUUAAUACCAGGGUCAGCGAGCUGUUUCCUUUUGGCCAUUGGAAUGCAGUUCUUCUUUCUGUCAGCCUUCUUUUGGCUGAAUACGAUGUGCUUCAACAUCUGGUGGACGUUCCGGGACUUUCGUCCCAGUUCGCUGGAACGUAAUCAGGAAUCGUUGCGUCUCCGGCUGUAUUCGGCUUAUGCAUGGGGUGUUCCACUGCUCAUCUGUGCGAUUGCCGCCUGUGUGGAUCAGCUGCCGGAGACGGAGACAUCCCUGCUGCGACCGGGCUUUGGUGAGGUCUUCUGCUGGUUCAACAAUCGCUCACUGGCCAUAUUCGCCUACUUUUACGGACCCAUCGGACUGCUGCUCUGCGCCAAUAUUGUGCUCUUCAUAUCGACAACGCAUCAGUUGACGUGUGGCCUGUGGAAACGGGAUGAUGUCAAGUCAACGUCGGAGAAAUCGGCGCUGGGCAAGGUCUGCUUGAAGCUGGUCGUUGUGAUGGGCGUCACCUGGAUAUGGGACAUCAUCUCGUGGAUAGUGGGUGGACCGCAUGGUGCCUGGCUGGUCACAGAUCUGAUUAAUGCCCUUCAGGGUGUCUUCAUCUUCAUUGUGGUCGGCUGCCAACCGCAGGUGUGGACCGCCUGCAAGCGUCUCUGUUGCCCGAGACUGCGACACGAUAUCACCAAUACCACAAAUGGGGUGCAGCACUCGAGCAGCUCCCAGGGUCUGCCCUCGAUGGCCAAUGGCACCGAAUUCACCCAGAACACCUCGAUGAACAUCACAACGACAACAACGCCGACGACAACAACGGCGACUACAAAUGCAGCCCCAGCUACACCCACAUUUGAGAAGUCAUCGCCAACUCCCCAAACAAUUGCUGCUGGCAACAGUUCAAGUUUGAGUUCGAGUCCAAAUGCAAAUGCACAUUCGAUGCCAACUCUGGCGACAACUGUUACAAAGAUACCAAUGGAGACUAUUUGCUAAGAAAGCUGAGACGAGCGAAGACAAUGCAAAAGUAAACCGGGCAACAACAAUGCAGAAGUAGCAGCAGCAAGCCCGACAGCAAUGCUAAUGAAGGCAGGCCGACAACAGCAGCAGCAACCACAACAACAACCACAACAGCACAGAGAGUGGUCAGACUUGCGCAAUAGCAAACGUAAAAGCUACAACACCAACAAAAACAGUUAAACAUUCAAGCACGCGCAUUGACCGACCUGCCAAUGACAACAGCAACAACAACAACAACUGCCCAGCCCAACCACAGCUGGCCAAGCUUUUUCGUAAUUUGUAAAAUGCGUCUAACGCCCGCUUAAGCAAAACAAAACAAAACACACAAGAAAAUAAUUGAAGGAAUAUUUAUUAAAAUGUCAACAUUGUAUUAUGAUAGUUAUUAUUCUAUAUAUGUAAAGUACUUCCAAAGUGUUCAGGCCAAAAGUUAUUUCCCCCCUCUCUGUUUGACCCUCCCCCCCCACUAUUUGUUAAUCUGCAUGUCUAUGUAUAUAUGAUAUAUUUAAG
rnacentral:misc_RNA from 1 species